UACGUAGGGGGCUAGCGUUAUCCGGAAUUACUGGGCGUAAAGGGUGCGUAGGUGGUUUCUUAAGUCAGAGGUGAAAGGCUACGGCUCAACCGUAGUAAGCCUUUGAAACUGGGGAACUUGAGUGCAGGAGAGGAGAGUGGAACUCCAUGUGUAGCGGUGAAAUGCGUAGAUAUAUGGAAGAACACCAGUGGCGAAAGCGGCUCUCUGGUCUGUAACUGACGCUGAGGUUCGAAAGCGUGGGUAGCAAACAGG
rnacentral:rRNA from 1 species